rnacentral:tRNA from 1 species
UCGGGGCGUAGCGUAGUCCGGUCAUCGCGCCUGGUUUGGGACCAGGAGGUCGCAGGUUCGAAUCCUGCCGCCCCGACAAU